UUGAAACAUAAAAGUUAUUAUGCGCAUACAAUGCAUACAUAUAUGGCACAUUAACACAUACGUGACUGAACAGCAAAAGGAAGGGCUGGCUGUGUACACUUCCCAUCAGAUGCAAGCAAAAUCCAACAGUACGAGUCUGCUCACCGAAGCUACUGAGAAUGCAUAACAUACAUAGCACUCACACGCAGCUAAGAAACACUUGAGUAUAGAGCAGUGUAAUAUUGCUACAUAAGCUUUCUAGUGAGUAAUAUAUACCCAAAUUAUUUCCUUUAAAGUAUGCUACCACCUUUGGAAAUGCUUUCAUUUAAACAAAAAUUAUUUUCUAUUUAUGACAUUUUAACCACCUCAGACAUUUGAAAAACUAGCAUAAACAUUAUAUCCCUGCCUUGUUUUAUUCAGUUGCAGGCAAUUUUUAAAGUACCAGCAAACAUUUCAGUCAGAUGUUUAAAAAAUAUUUUCUUUUUGAUCUUCUAAAAUUUACUUUUCUGGAAUUUUUUUGUGACAUGAACACUGAUAAUUUCAAUAUGAACAAACUUUUCAAUUAAACUUUUUAUGGUGUUAGAUAUGGGGCUGUUUCCUGAGCCUACUUCAAAUUCCCCAGACCACUUCGAGUCGCGCCACUUCUAAGUAAGGGAUGCAGAAACACGGAUGACACAUUCCAGAGGAUCGCUCGAGCCAACAAAUUCACGUGCCAAAAGUUCUUACGCCGCCGGUAGCUAUUGAAUGCUUGAGUUUUCCAGAAAACGAAGGGGUAGCCCGGCAUUGUUGCAAGGAAAGUGGGUCCCGAAACAACACGGCUGCGAUGUACCGGGAAGGCCCAAGCGUCCCCCUUCUUCGCCUUUGAAGAAGGCAUUUGCCACCACAGCGGGGCCGUACCACCGGGAGCAGCAAGGCAAGACCGCGGGGAGCCGCCGGGUGCGACAUCACCGCACGGGUGCCUACCAUUGGCCGAAGGUGGCGUCAUCGGAGCGGGCUCUCCCAUUGGCCGAACAUGACGCGACUUCCAGUCCUCGAAGGGUUUAAAAGAAGCAUUCCAGAGAGACCUGAGCAUUCCCCGAUUUACCUCUCUCGAACUUCUUGCCGCGGGCCGCAGCGUCAGAGUUGCUGCCGGCCCGUAAUGACUGUACGACUGUUACUUGACUCUCACCUCUCUGUAUAUAAUGUAAAAUAAACCUCCCAAGUAGGUUUUUCA